AGCGAACGCUGGCGGCAGGCCUAACACAUGCAAGUCGAACGAAGUCUUCGGACUUAGUGGCGGACGGGUGAGUAACACGUGGGAACGUGCCUUUAGGUUCGGAAUAACUCAGGGAAACUUGUGCUAAUACCGAAUGUGCCCUUCGGGGGACAGAUUUAUCGCCUUUAGAGCGGCCCGCGUCAGAUUAGCUAGUUGGUGAGGUAAAGGCUCACCAAGGCUACGAUCAGUAGCUGGUCUGAGAGGAUGACCAGCCACAUUGGGACUGAGACACGGCCCAAACUCCUACGGGAGGCAGCAGUGGGGAAUCUUGCGCAAUGGGCGAAAGCCUGACGCAGCCAUGCCGCGUGGAUGAUGAAGGUCUUAGGAUUGUAAAAUCCUUUCACCGGUGAAGAUAAUGACUGUAGCCGGAGAAGAAGCCCCGGCUAACUUCGUGCCAGCCGCCGCUGUAAAAC
rnacentral:rRNA from 1 species